UCCUUGUUGUUGCAACCGAACGCAAUACAGUAAACCAUUCUUUGUAAUGUAAUGGACAACUCACAAGUCAACGGCAGUAGAUUAGCUGCAAUAUUACUUCUACGUAGUGAAAUUAUAGUCUCUACUCGCACAUUACAACAUGCCCUAUUCAGUCAGCGUGACCGUAUCAGGUCGUUUUCAGUCACGGCAUUUGUUCCGCCCAGUCAACCUUGUACCCGUAUGGCCUGAGGUAAUAGUAAAUGACAUUACCACGCAUCGUAGACGGCUCACACCCAAGGACGCUCUUAGUGAGCAUCCAAGAUACUGUGUUAUUAGAUGCUACAUCCUUUCAAAUUCUGACUGAUCCUCGAUAUAUCCUCGCUAAACAGAGCAACAUACGCGAGUAAGAUAUUGUUACGUCAUCAUUUCAAAAUGGCGACUGCCAUAAGGUUACGCCCCAUGUUCGAAGCUCAAUUUCUCCGUUCAGAAAGAGUUGUAUUAAGAAAGAAAGGUUUGACACAAUUGACGCCUGUACAUGUAAGGAGCAAAAAAAGGAAAACCUUGUCAUUGAAAGAAUGCAGCUGCAGGGGAAGAGACCAGCGCAUAAAGGUUCUGCAAGAAUUGACAUGUAAUGACUUUGUUGAGGACACAUGCACAGAAAAUUACUCUCACUGAGAAGAGCCAAGCCAAAGCAUUUUGCAGAGGAGAGUAAUAUUAGAGACACAUGAUAAUGACACUUACAAGUAUUAGAUAAUAUUUUAGUUAUAACUGAUUAAUAAUUAAUUAUAACUAAUUAUUAAUUAAUUAAUAGCUGAUUAUUUGUAAUAGCUGCACUACGUAUAGUAAAAACCACGUUACCAUUGUGUUUUAGCCAGCCUAUGUUCAUUCACUGUGCUUACAGGACCGCGUUAAAUCUACUUAUCAAUCAGAUAUGUGAUUAUAGGACUGCGGCUGACCUUCUCUUGAAUCAUAUAGGGAUCUGUUUCAUGCAUAUCUCAUGGGUGUGAUUUCUAAGAACCCAAGAAUUCAAUCAGAAAUCUAUUAUUUAGAUAUCAAGAGAGCAAAUAGAAGAGCCUCGUAAACUGCUGCUGAAGUUUUAUCAAAUUUAUGAACUUUUAUAUGGCACGAAAGCAGUGAAAGUACACCUUCUGCAGCGUUUGCCGGAUGUUGUAGAGAAGUGGGGUGCUUUGUGGGGUCAUUCCUGCUUUUGGUAUGAAUCCCUAAAUGGAUUUCUUAAAAGGUUUGUACACGGCACACGAUUUGUUUGCAGCCAGGUUGCAUCAAUUGUUAUGAUCAUUAAGACCAUUUCAGAUGUGCUACCAUCACCGACUGACCAGCUAUUAGCACCACCUGUAGUUCGUUUGGCUACAAAAUUUGGACUGAUGUGGAUCUGUUUGUUGACCCAAUCAAUGUUGUUUUGAGGAGGCUUGGCAACGAGAAACUUUGUUGUGGUUCGCCUGUCAAAACUGUUGGGAGACUGAAACUAGCUGGUCAUGUGAUACAAUCAAAGAAAAGUCACGUGACAAAGAAAAAUUCUUAUAAUGUCGAAUUUACCGAAUGUCAUGAAGAACAGCCGUUGUUUGGUUAUGUAUUACUCUUUAUCAUUUUUGGAUGUGAACGGUUUUCUGUCAUUCAACGGCUUAAUUAAAAUGAAGGAGUGGCCAUUAUUGCAUAAUGACGAUGACUGCAUGACUGAUGUUGUUGAUGCUUAGAGUAAUCUUCGGGAGCCGAUCGGAAAGCAUUUAAUUCCUUCUCGAGAGACUCGGGACUUGGUAGCAAUUCCUGUAGGAGACAUAACAGCUCAAGUAGUCUGUAUGAAAAUGUUAGGUUGAAGCUGUAUUUUUUUGUGUCUCGAUUUCUUAACAUUAUCGAGUGUGAUCGAGUUGUGAAAUACUCAAGAAAUGGUCUCGA